rnacentral:rRNA from 1 species
AGAGUUUGAUCCUGGCUCAGGAUGAACGCUGGCGGUAUGCCUAACACAUGCAAGUCGAACGAUGUCUUCGGACAUAGUGGCGGACGGGUGAGUAACGCGUGAGAAUCUGCCUCUAGGAUGGGGAUAACGGUUGGAAACGACCGCUAACACCCAAUAUGCCGUAAGGUGAAAAAUUUAUUGCCUGGAGAGGAGCUCGCGUCUGAUUAGCUAGUUGGUGGGGUAAGAGCUCACCAAGGCCUCGAUCAGUAGCUGGUCUGAGAGGAUGAGCAGCCACACUGGGACUGAGACACGGCCCAGACUCCUACGGGAGGCAGCAGUGGGGAAUUUUCCGCAAUGGGCGAAAGCCUGACGGAGCAAUACCGCGUGAGGGAGGAAUGCCUUUGGGUUGUAAACCUCUUUUCUCAGGGAAGAAGAUCUGACGGUACCUGAGGAAUAAGUAUCGGCUAACUCCGUGCCAGCAGCCGCGGUAAUACGGAGGAUGCAAGCGUUAUCCGGAAUCAUUGGGCGUAAAGCGUCCGCAGGUGGUUUCCAAAGUCUGCUGUUAAAGACUGGAGCUCAACUCCGGAACGGCGGUGGAAACUUGGAAACUAGAGUUCGGUAGGGGUAGCAGGAAUUCCCAGUGUAGCGGUGAAAUGCGUAGAUAUUGGGAAGAACAUCGGUGGCGAAGGCGUGCUACUGGACCGUAACUGACACUCAGGGACGAAAGCUAGGGGAGCGAAAGGGAUUAGAUACCCCUGUAGUCCUAGCUGUAAACGAUGGAAACUAGGUGUGGCUUGUAUCGACCCGAGCCGUGCCGUANCUAACGCGUUAAGUUUCCCGNCUGGGGAGUACGCACGCAAGUGUGAAACUCAAAGGAAUUGACGGGGGCCCGCACNAGC